GCUGGCGUGGCGAACCUGGUAAACGCGGUGGCCUCACACGCCACUGGGCGCAAGCCCUUGUGGGUUCGAGUCCCACCGCCAGCACCG
rnacentral:tRNA from 1 species